rnacentral:rRNA from 1 species
GAUGAACGCUGGCGGCGUGCCUAAUACAUGCAAGUCGAGCGAAUGGAUUAAGAGCUUGCUCUUAUGAAGUUAGCGGCGGACGGGUGAGUAACACGUGGGUAACCUGCCCAUAAGACUGGGAUAACUCCGGGAAACCGGGGCUAAUACCGGAUAACAUUUUGAACCGCAUGGUUCGAAAUUGAAAGGCGGCUUCGGCUGUCACUUAUGGAUGGACCCGCGUCGCAUUAGCUAGUUGGUGAGGUAACGGCUCACCAAGGCAACGAUGCGUAGCCGACCUGAGAGGGUGAUCGGCCACACUGGGACUGAGACACGGCCCAGACUCCUACGGGAGGCAGCAGUAGGGAAUCUUCCGCAAUGGACGAAAGUCUGACGGAGCAACGCCGCGUGAGUGAUGAAGGCUUUCGGGUCGUAAAACUCUGUUGUUAGGGAAGAACAAGCGCUAGUUGAAUAAGCUGGCACCUUGACGGUACCUAACCAGAAAGCCACGGCUAACUACGUGCCAGCAGCCGCGGUAA